rnacentral:misc_RNA from 1 species
CCAGAUCGAAAUCCGCUCCGCAAACCGCGGCGGAGUCUCUCCUUCCCUCCUCCUCCUCCUCGGCUUCUUUCCGGCGGAGUCCAGGAGUCCUGCUUCUUCACCGGCGAGGUCGCCGCCCGUCUUAAACAUCCGCGGCCGGUGAAGAAGGAAGAGCAUCUCCAACUCCACCAUGAAGGCUCUCAUUCUCGUCGGAGGUUUCGGUACCCGUCUCAGGCCGCUCACUCUCAGUGUCCCGAAGCCGCUUGUCGACUUCGCUAACAAGCCGAUGAUAAUGCACCAGAUCGAGGCUCUCAAAGAAGUCGGAGUCACAGAAGUGGUUCUUGCCAUCAAUUACCAGCCGGAGGUUAUGCUCAACUUCUUGAAAGAGUUCGAAGCCAAGCUUGACAUCAAGAUCAGCUGCUCGCAGGAGACCGAGCCGCUGGGCACAGCUGGCCCCCUCGCUCUCGCCAGAGACAAGCUGGUUGAUGGAUCCGGGGAGCCCUUCUUUGUACUGAACAGCGAUGUGAUCAGUGAGUACCCGUUCGCAGAAUUGAUCAAGUUUCACAACACACAUGGGGGAGAAGCCACUAUCAUGGUCACCAAGGUCGAUGAGCCGUCGAAAUACGGUGUGGUGAUGAUGGAGGAGGGGACUGGAAAAGUGGAGAGG